rnacentral:tRNA from 1 species
GCCCCGCUGGCGGAAUUUGGCAUACGCGCUGGUCUCAGAAACCAGUUUUUCCCGGUUCGAGUCCGGGGUGGGGUACCA